UAUAAAACUUGUCAUGAUUAAAACUUCAGGCAUACAAAUUACUUCAAAAGUUUAUAGUCCUUUUGAAGUAAAUAACACAUUUGAUACUAUUAUACUCACAAUCAAGUAUCAUAUCCAAAAAAAUAACAUCCCCUCUAUUCCUUUUUUUUUUUUUUGAUGGAAACAUCCCCUCUAUUCUAAUGCAAAAGAAUGUGUGCAAGACAUGUCAUGGCUCCAUAACUUGUGCUUUACAUUCACAAUCUGGUUUCAUUGAGAAAAAAGAUAAAUUCUGGCCAAACAGAAGUUGCACAAAUUACCAACUAAUAGCAGUGACAGUAGCCUUACACUAAUAUGAAUUACCAACUAAUAGCAGUGACAUUAACCUUACACAAUUUUUUUUUCCCUAAUGAAAUUAUAAUAUCUGUAUAACAAUACACCUAAAAUAUAAACUGCAGUCAUCCCCAACAUUCAAGUAUGCAUUGGGUUAAGCAUCUACACCUUAUCUGCAAUCUUGAAUAAACUGCAAAACAGAAAAAUCAAGCAUAAAAAGUUCCCAAGAAUUGGCAUAAUGCAGAAUCCAACAUAAAAAAGAGAAACAUCACACCUAACAUAUAACAUUUGCAAUCUGCACUUGGCAGAAGGCUUAAGUAAGCAACAAAUGACAGAUACCUUUUGUUGGAAGUUCCACAUAUUCAUGGUAAUAUUAUCAGAUCAAAAGAACGGUGUACAAAUAUGCUUAAGCUUCAGAAUGCAUCAGCAACAGCUAUGGGAAAGAUUUAAUUGCUCCCACAUAUUCUUGCAAAAGCUAUAUUUGUUUAAUAAAAUAGUCAGUUAAUGGUCUAACUUCAUAGGAAUAUUCACUUUGAACAUUAUCUUUUACAAGUUCCACAACUGAAAUUGAAAAAUGAGCCACCAAAUUCGUCGUACAUCGUUAACUUCUCGCCCAAACAGGUACUAGUGUCACGAACUGCUAAUUUCUCAGCAGCAAGCAUGAAUGUUAAUUGUCCAAAUAAAUGAAUCAUUAAAAUGGUAAUAACAUCACAAAAAGACUCUAGGGAGAAAGUCAGGUCCCGUAGGAGCAAUAAAGCAACAAGGGUCCAAUUCCACUUCCUGCAGAGCAUUAAAACGGUACAAAUUGCAACCUGCAAGAGAAUGACUCUCAACAAAAGAUCGCAUCACUCACUAAAAUUCCAACUCAGGAAUGUGAUCUCAAUGAACAGAGCGAGGACCUCCUAUACCAAUUUUUCAAACUUGCAGUGCAGUUUUGUGGACCAUUGUCUCCUUGUGGAUUUGAUGGCAACUCUUCUCAACAAGGUCAAGAAGAAAAUAGACGGAAAACAAAACAAGCCUAGAGGAACAUUACAAGGUUUGCUUUCAUAAGGAGUAAUUCCGGGAUUUAGAUUCUGUUAGGAACUUAUUAUCUAGAGUUGUUCGGCUUUGGUCCAUGAAUAUCAAUGACGAGCUUAUUAUUGACUCAAUCACUGACUUGCGACUAAUCUGGUACCCAAGUACUAACUUUUAUAUAGAAAUCAGAAAUCAAGGCAAUGCAUCGUAUAUUCCAAUACUCCCAUUUUCCUCGUAUAACUCCAUAACGUGAUUAGACUUACCAGUUAGGACCCUGGCAAAUGACAAAUUGGAUGUGGAUUCAGAACUUACAUAUGUAUAAUUUAAUAAUAAAUAUGGCACGAUGAAAUCAAGCUUAACAUUGACAUUUGAUCUAAUAAAACCAUAACAGCAUUUGUCAUCUAUAUGCCCAGGACGUGAGUAAAAUUUCCAAUACUUAACAUCAAUACUAUCCAAAGAAUGGAAUAUGUGCAAUCGUAAUUUGAAUACUGAUCACCAACAUUCACGUUUACCUAUCACAAAUAAAUACUGAAGAAAAUGAAAUUAAAAAGAAAAUAAGCGGGAAUGGGUUGACAAAUUUACAAGAGCACAGGGAGAAUUUGGGUAUUUAGAGAGAAGAGUCGCGGAGUGCUUGAGGGCGUUCUUGAACUGGUGAGAAUCAAUGGUAUCCCAAAUGGGUCGGACCCGUCGCUCCGGAAUGUUGCCCGCUAACCUGAAUUUGGACGCCAUUCAGGAAAAAUAGUUCUUAAGGAUUUUGGUCGCUUAAUGGGUGCAAUUAACAGAACGGGGAAAAUAAAAAUAAAUAUAGGGCCGGGUUGGGAAUUUGGAGAUGCGCAGGUGAAGGGGGGUCUGCCUCCUAUCCAAAGAUUGAAGAAGAGGAAGAAGAAAAUGGAGGAAAGGGUCAAGAUUUCAAUUUGCCUCUGUAUUUAGGGUGGGAAAAAUGGAAGAAGAGGUCAUUUCCCGUCUUUUGGAUUUACG
rnacentral:lncRNA from 1 species